UACGGGGGGGGCAAGCGUUGUUCGGAAUUACUGGGCGUAAAGGGCUCGUAGGCGGCCAACUAAGUCGGAUGUGAAAUCCCCAGGCUUAACCUGGGAACUGCAUCCGAUACUGGAUGGCUUGAAUCCGGGAGAGGGAUGCAGAAUUCCAGGUGUAGCGGUGAAAUGCGUAGAUAUCAGGAGGAACACCGGUGGCGAAGGCGGAUCUCUGGGCCGAUACUGACGCUGAGGAGCGAAAGCGUGGGUAGCAAACAGG
rnacentral:rRNA from 1 species